ensembl:processed_transcript Gm20713 predicted gene 20713
UUCAGACUCGCCCUCAGAUACUCGGAGCACUCAGGUUUCUCUACGAAACCAGCGAUCUGGUAGAAGCUCUAAAGCAGCAUCUACUUCUGUAACUUUGCCUUCCCAACAUCACAUCAUCGGUUAUCAUCAGCAUAACUACUCCAUCAUCUUCCCAGAAAUCAGAGCUGGAGCUCAGAAAGAAGAAACCGUCCUCUUUCAUGUCCCGUGAGGAAGAUCAGAGGGAAGGAAGAAGAUAGGAACCCGGCACAGCUGGAAACUGAGAAUUGCUCCUUCUCUUUCCCAGCACACUUGAACUACAACCAUCUUCGUCAUCACAGUCUCCACUAGAGUUCUCAAGCAUGCCGCCUCCACUGCCUGGCUGAAGGAGCUCCCACUUGUUGGGCUUGGGUGAUCUCCCCCGUAACAACUGAAGACAAACAACAAAAAUAUGUUUGU